rnacentral:rRNA from 1 species
UACAGAGGGUGCAAGCGUUAAUCGGAUUUACUGGGCGUACAGGGAGCGUAGGCGGUUGGAUAAGCCCUCCGUGAAAUCUCCAGGCUUAACCUGGAAAGUGCAGAGGGGACUGUUCAGCUAGAGGAUGGGAGAGGAGCGCGGAAUUCCCGGUGUAGCGGUGAAAUGCGUAGAUAUCUGGAGGAAUACCGGUGGCGAAGGCGGCAUCCUGGACCGAGAUUGACGCUGAUGAGCGAAAGCUAGGGGAGCAAACGGG